rnacentral:tmRNA from 1 species
GGGGCUGAUUCUGGAUUCGACGGGAUUGUGAAGCCUUAGGAGCAUGCCGAGGGGCGGUUUGCCUCGUAAAAAGCCGCAAAAAAAAUAGUCGCAAACGACGAAAACUACGCACUAGCAGCUUAAUAACCUGCUUAGAGCCUUCUCUCCCUAGCUUCCGCUCUUAAGACGGGGAUCAAGAGAAGUCAAACCCAAAAGAGAUCGCGUGGAUGCCUUGCCUGGGGUUGAAGCGUUAAAUCCAAUCAGGCUAGUCUGUUAGUGGCGUGUCUGUUCGCAGCUAACCGGCGAAUGUAAAAACUGACUAAGCAUGUAGUGCCGACGGUGUAGUAAUUUCGGACGCGGGUUCAACUCCCGCCAGCUCCACCA